UCGAUUGGUACAGCGGAGACCUGGGUCUC
rnacentral:piRNA from 1 species